rnacentral:lncRNA from 10 species
AAAGUAUCUCCUCUGAAACCAAAAACUUAACCGGCCUCUUUCACUGAGCUGAAAUGGUUCUCAGAGCUUGCCCAACUCUGAGCUCUUCCUGACACGCCUGGGUUUCUGACUGUCAGCACCCCAGGGAGAGGGUGGGACGCCCAGAUCCAGGCAUGGAGCAGAAUGUCGCCUAGGGAGAGCGCCGGGAGCCUCCUCCUCAGAACCACUGCGGAAGCUACUUUACUGCAAACAACCUAAGUAAAGUGGGCAGCUUCCCAAGGUGUGGCCCCAGCUGCUGACCCCAGAGUUUGUACUCAAACACCCGUGGGCCUGGCUACUGCCCUUAUUGACAAAUCCAAUCUCAUCAGAUGCUCUGGGGCUGUAGGUCUUCAUUCCAUGUCAGGAAUGCCCCGCUUUGAGAGGACUUGUGAUUGUGGUAAUUUAUGACACCAGCUGCUGUGAAAAUGACUGGGGAAUGGGCAAAUUGCCCUGCCUGUAAACUCACAAAUGGACAUCCAGGACCAGAGAUGCCCUCGCUCGGAAGCAAGCACCCAUAUCGCCCUGCCUCAAACUGUGGGGUGCUGGGCUAGCUCACGUUUCAUCUCUCAGGUUGCUGUUCAAGUUGCAACCAGAGAAUUCCAUGUGCUCAGCUGGGAAACAGGACACCAGGGUCCUUCCCUCCAUUCUGCUCACCAUGGUUCUCAGGGAAGCUUGACUCUCAGGCCACUCAGACCUUCCUUCAUAAAUCCCAAAGUCUGCCCUAGAAUUUUAACUCAAGAUUGAAAAUGCUUUCUGGAGCUCUCUGAAGCUGAAUUGGGAGGUUUCAUUAUCCACUGUGUCUGUAAGUGUUCUAAGCUGCAAGAAAUGGGAACGAACUCCUUCGUCUAAGAUGAAAAGGAAGUCCUCAAAAGUAAAUAGGCUGCUCGGAGUUUCUAGAAUGAUGCAGAACCAGGUGCAAGGGCUCUCCCUCAAGAACAAUACCCCACAUCAGGCCACAGAGCUGGGCCACGAAAGAUGCUGCUGCAGUUGACACCAGGCACAGGCCAGCUCCAAGUACUGUGUGUGGUUGGCCCUGGAUGCUGGAUGCUGGCUAUGGAACCACAGUCCUUGUUGCCUCUGGGAACUAAGCAUAGAGUCACUGCUGUCUUGCCCUCAUCAGAAUGGAGGUCUGUCCAUAGUGCCUCUUUUAGCGCUGCUUCAAAGUCUAGGAAAGGGGCCAUGCACAGUGGCUCACGCCUGUAAUCCCAGUACUUUGGGAGGCCGAGGUGGGCAGAUCACCUGAGGUUGGGAGAUUGAGAUCAUCCUGGCCAACAGGGAGAAACCCCGUCUCUACUAAAAAUACAAAAAAUUAGCUGGGCGUGGUGGCGCAUGCCUGUAAUCCCAGCUACGUGGGAGGCUGAGGCAUGAGAAUCGCUUGAAUUCAGGAGGUGGAGAUUGCGGUGAGCCAAGAUCACACCAUUGCACUCCAGCCUGGGCAACAAGAGUGAAAUUCCGUCUCAAAAUUAAUUAAUUAAUUAAUUAAAUUAAAUAAAAAGCAUUUUAAAAGUCUAGGAAAGGCAAUUCUGACUGGUGGAACCCAGGUUAACGUGCCCAUAAAUUCGCUGCAAAGCAGGCUGAGGAAACACAGGUCUGCCACAUUCAGCUUUUCUAUGAGAGAAGCCUCUGCCUUAUCAGCUCAGGAAUUCCUCCCCAAAAGGAAAGGGGUUCAGUCACUGGACAUCUAAAACACUGACAACUGCCUGCCAUCCCCUGGAAUGGACUCGGCUCCUAUUUCCCGAGUCUUUCCUCACUCUACCCGUGCUAGCCUCAUUGACUAAGUCCUUAAUUGACCACUCUCCACAUACAAGCAUGCUCUAGGUGACUCCUCCCUGCCCCAUAUCCCUGUUCAAAUAUUUUCAUUUUCUUUACUCUUUUUUCAUCCAUUUGUAUCAGUUUUCUUCCUCCAAAGUCAUAUGUGCCCAGGAUUCUACAUGCAUGUAACUCCACAGUCAGUCCAUUUCACAGCUCAACUCUUAUUUCUAAAGUUCAAUUUAUUUCAGAAUUACCCUUAACCUAUUUAGAAUGGGAGCAAAUUCACAUUUACACAAUAUUUUAGGGAAGAGUUCCUUCUCUCAUGUGCCCACCCAUGUCAAUGUCUGAAACAGCCAGCCUCAGUGAACAUUAUGCUCUUAAGAUGGUCUUCAAAAAGUACUAUUCUUUGGUCAAAUGAAUUUAAGAGAAGUUUCCCUGUGAGAGUUACAAUGCACAUUAGGUAAUUAAAGGUCUGGAAAGUCAUGAAAUACAGAAGCCUAUUUAACUUUUAAACCCAACACUUCCAAAGCGUAUUUGACUACAAACCAUCCCCACAUUUUUUGUUGUUGUCUUUAUAACACUUUUUUACAUCCAAAGCAUGCUGCAAUAAAGCUUCUUAAGAUACUUUAUUCAGAAGAUUCUCAUGUUCCCUUCCUCCUGAAAAAACUAUCCCCAAGUAAAUGAAUCUCUGCUCAGCUUGGAGAAGGAGAACAGAGACAAUGGGGAGAGGUGCCAUACUGUAGACCCUUGCUACUCAAAGUGCAGUCCGUGGACCAGAAGCAUUACCAUUACCAUCACCGAGGAGCUUGGGAAAUGUAGCAUCUCAGGUCCCACCCCAGACCUGGGAAACCGGAAUCUGCAUUUUAGCAAGUUUAUUCCUAUGCACAGUAAAGUUUGACCCAUACUGGCAUAGAUAACUCCUACACCUAAAAUCUCCAAUUCCCCAUAAUGAACACGUCAGGAGUUCAACUCAUGCCCAAGUUUCCAUAAGUAGAAUUUGCUCCUCCCUUUAGGGUUUUACAGAGCUCAGCAUUCUUUUUCAGGGUGGGCCCACACCCUUUGGAAUUCUGGGAGUUUAAGGAAACCUUAGCAUUUUGUGGUUUGACCACAAAGAAGCUGAGCUGACUUCUAUGAUCUUUUAUGAAACAUCCCGUGGGGAACCUCUGGCCUCCAGCAUUGAGGGAUGUGCCAUCAGGACUAUCACUGGAACACCUGGGAGGUACUGUUAUAACAAGCC